AACUAUGUGCUUCUGCCUUUGCUAGGAGAACAUGCCAGGGCUGGCCUGUUGGAGGGCUGGGAGAGUGAGGUGGGGAGCAGCAUUUAGGUUGUCUCUCACCCAAGACAGAAAAUAAUCAGAUUGACAGAUUUCACUUUUCUCCAAGACUCAUUACUCAUCUGUUGUGUGUAGAUUUCGGCAGGGGUUCAAGAAAGCAUAUUGAUGCAUGUAUGUUGCGGUCUUAAUGCAAAUCUGAUCUAGCCUUAGAACUCUGAGCAUACCAAGAACCUAAGGGUAAAUUUAUUUUUCAUACGCAUUACCCCUUUGAAACUUGAAGAAAGACAAGGAGGAACAUAGAAUGAAAAGCAGAUUAAAAUGAAGGAUCAGACCCAGCUGGAUGUCUUAUACCUCCUCUUCUUUGUCAGUAGACUCCUGAAUUAUUAAGUUCAAUAAGAAAGGAAAGGGAUGGAAAGGAUUCGGAGUGUCUUAUUUCAGGUGUAAACCUUUAUGAUGUCUUCGUAUAUUCCUGUACCGCGUGCAAGCAUUGGAGGUUUGUGGCUGGAAAUCCUUCAAAGGUGACAAUGUACAGAAGAGUUGAUAUGAAUCAAGACUGGAUGAAUGAAGCCAUUGGAUGAAUUCACGCUUCUCAACAUCUAAGCCUUCGGCACACCCUUUGGUGGAAUUCAAAGUUUCUGCGGAGCAGAGAGCAGUAAUUAACAGUGAGACCUUAUGAUGAGCAAAUCACAGAAGCACAACUCUGAAGUAAGUCACCUAAGGCCACGCAGCUAGGAGAUAAAUGAAUCAACAUUGAAACCCAAUUUUGUUGCUUAGUAUCCCACAUUCUCAAACUAUAUUAUCUGUCCUUAUUGUGAAUAAAAAGUGUUCUUAUUAACACUACAUUCUUGGCUCAGUGCUAAGCUCUGUGGCCCAUUGUCCAGCACUUGACCAGGUCCCCGGCAGGCACUGAGCCAUUUGAUGCAGAGGAAUGCUGAGCAGCGUGAGGCCAGGCAGGCCCAACUGGCCAGGUGACGCCUGGCCAGAUGGUUCCUCCCCCCGGCGCCCCCAGAGGCCACUAUUGAAAACCUGAAAGAGACAAAAAGCCUGUGGAAUCCUCCAAGGGGACCAGAUGCUGCUUAGGGAAAACCUCUCCACACUGUGGCAUCAGGGAACGGGUGGUGCAAGAGAAGCUUCAAGAAUGAUGAACAGAACAAGAAACUGCCUCACUUGACAAUAAAAUAAAUGCCCACCACCUCCUGUUUCCUCGUUAAUGAUUAUUAAAAUGAUCCUGGUACAAGAUUAAUAUUAAAAACUGAUGCUUAGUAAUAAACUUCUCACAGCUAUCUUCAAGAUUUCCAGGGAGUAAUAGCUGAAAGGGAAAACUGAACAAGAGGAGUCUUCCUGUGUGUUGUAGUGCCUGGGUGUGUAUUUCUUUCCACUGCUAGUACUUUUGUUGGCAAAUAGUGCACGCUGUUGGAGCCUAUCCCCCAGACCUUAAGUAGGGGCAGUGGGUCGUGUGGGAUGGAGCCCUAUCAAAUGGGGCUGGACUCUGGUUUUGUCUGCUGUGACCCCGGGGGUGCCCGCUGGGAUCUGUGAGCAGGCAGAGGCCGGUGGGAGCACCCUCCGCCUCCCUUUGUUCCGCCGGGCUCCAGCCUGCAGCAGCUGAUCCGGUUAUUAUGCUCCUGAAAAGAAUUUCUAGGUGGCCACAGUGACCAUAAGGAGCAGAGAAACCACGAGGGCUGCAAGCCACGAAGAGCAACACAUCGGCUAUUGAGCACUAAUCCCACCCAUAAUUAGAGGAUCCCUUCAGCCUUGUGGUGCUCACAGAAAUCUGAACUAAGGCAGAGAGGAGCCGUCUGAGGUCUGUAGGCCACCGUUUACCAAAUGUGCUGUCAUCAGCGCAAUUAGCUUAUUUGGUGGGAUCGGCGUUUUAAAAAGAAAAACAGAAAGCUGUAUAGAACAUAGACUUGGGGCAAAAACUGAAUUUAAGAUGUAGUUAAAGUCACCUUUGAUUUCUCAGCUUCCUUCCCCCACCCCAUUCUUAAAAUCAUGCAUUUUAAUGAAAAUUUGAUCUGCGUGGGUCUGAUUUGUUUACUUGGGACUCAUCCAAAUGCUGUUUUGUAAGAGCGAUUUCAUAUCUAACAGAUUUGCAUAACUUGGGCUAUACUUCUCAGAAAGAAAAACUCAUGUUGGGCCCUAAAUGAACAGAUUUAUCGCUCUGAGACUUGUCCAGGCUUUACGGUGGCAGUUGCUCUCUGCCUACUCUGCUCUCCCUUGUCUUCAUCCCAGGCAUCCCAAGGUUUCUGCUAUACUAAAGAAAAGCUGCGCCCAUCAUCUGAAUCUAACCUUCGUGGGUGCUCAGGAACCUGUCACCUGUUCUAAAAUUCCACCUGCUAUUUUAAUUCACCACAUGCCGCCCGUUGGCUAAGUGGAAGAAAAUGAACAUCUGAUCACAAAGUCACUAAUUAUGUUUAAUUACUGGCUAAAAUAUUAACUUUCAAAAAGGAAGAUAACUUUUGAAAGUGAUAUGAAUUCACCACUGUUGUAAUCUAUUUAAAUUCAUGUGUUACAAAUAAAUUACAAGAGAGAGGAAGA
rnacentral:lncRNA from 1 species